rnacentral:rRNA from 1 species
UACGUAGGGUGCGAGCGUUGUCCGGAAUUACUGGGCGUAAAGAGCGUGUAGGCGGCCUGAAAGGUCAGCUGUGAAAACUCGAGGCUCAACCUCGAGACGUCGGUUGAAACCAUCUGGCUAGAGUCCGGAAGAGGAGUGUGGAAUUCCCGGUGUAGCAGUGAAAUGCGUAGAGAUCGGGAGGAACACCAGUGGCGAAGGCGGCUACCUGGACCAGCACUGACACUGAGGCACGAAAGCGUGGGGAUCAAACAGG